AUUCCAUGAUGAGGGACAUUCCAUAAUAAUUCUUUGUACCUUUCUCAUGCCUCAUACAAGGACUCAUCAUCCAUCUGUUGGAAAGUAGUGAUCUCGUUCCUCAAUUU
rfam:Gossypium hirsutum cultivar TM-1 chromosome 4, whole genome shotgun sequence